GAUGAACGCUGGCGGCGUGCCUAAUACAUGCAAGUAGAACGCUGAAGGAGGAGCUUGCUCUUCUGGAUGAGUUGCGAACGGGUGAGUAACGCGUAGGUAACCUGCCUGGUAGCGGGGGAUAACUAUUGGAAACGAUAGCUAAUACCGCAUGACAACAGUUAUUGCAUGAUAACUGUUUAAAAGGGGCAACUGCUCCACUACCAGAUGGACCUGCGUUGUAUUAGCUAGUUGGUGCGGUAACGGCUCACCAAGGCGACGAUACAUAGCCGACCUGAGAGGGUGAACGGCCACACUGGGACUGGGACACGGCCCAGACUCCUACGGGAGGCAGCAGUAGGGAAGCUUCGGCAAUGGACGGAAGUCUGACCGAGCAACGCCGAGGGAGGGAAGAAGGGUUUCGGAUCGUAAAGCUCUGUUGUAAGAGAAGAACGAGUGUGAGAGUGGAAAGUUCACACUGUGACGGUAGCUUACCAGAAAGGGACGGCUAACUACGUG
rnacentral:rRNA from 1 species